rnacentral:pre_miRNA from 1 species
UUUUUUGGAUCAGCAAAGAAAGUGGUUUCUUGAGAUGGAAUCUACUCCUGUUGGAGAUGCUGUGAU